GAUGAACGCUGGCGGCGUGCCUAAUACAUGCAAGUCGAGCGAACAGAUGAGGAGCUUGCUCCUCUUACGUUAGCGGCGGACGGGUGAGUAACACGUGGAUAACCUACCUAUAAGACUGGGAUAACUUCGGGAAACCGGAGCUAAUACCGGAUAAUAUAUUGAACCGCAUGGUUCAAUAGUGAAAGACGGUUUUGCUGUCACUUAUAGAUGGAUCCGCGCCGCAUUAGCUAGUUGGUAAGGUAACGGCUUACCAAGGCAACGAUGCGUAGCCGACCUGAGAGGGUGAUCGGCCACACUGGAACUGAGACACGGUCCAGACUCCUACGGGAGGCAGCAGUAGGGAAUCUUCCGCAAUGGGCGAAAGCCUGACGGAGCAACGCCGCGUGAGUGAUGAAGGUCUUCGGAUCGUAAAACUCUGUUAUUAGGGAAGAACAAAUGUGUAAGUAACUAUGCACGUCUUGACGGUACCUAAUCAGAAAGCCACGGCUAACUACGU
rnacentral:rRNA from 1 species